AACGCACAUUGCGCCCCUUGGUAUUCCGAGGGGCAUGCCUGUUCGAGCGUCAUUACACCCCUCAAGCACUGCUUGGUCUUGGGCUCCGCCGCUAACCCGGCGGGCCUUAAAACGAGUGGCGGCGCCAUCAGGCUCUGAGCGUAGUAAAUUUCCUCGCUACGGAGUCCUGGUGACGGUGGUCACCAACCCCCAACUUUCUAAGUUUGACCUCGGAUCAGGUAGGGAUACCCGCUGAACUUAA
rnacentral:misc_RNA from 1 species